AUUGAACGCUGGCGGCAGGCUUAACACAUGCAAGUCGAGCGGGGUGAUGGUGCUUGCACUAUCACUUGGCGGCGGACGGGUGAGUAAUGCUUAGGAAUCUGCCUAUUAGUGGGGGACAACAUCUCGAAAGGGAUGCUAAUACCGCAUACGUCCUACGGGAGAAAUCAGGGGAUCACUUGUGACCUUGCGCUAAUAGAUGAGCCUAAGUCGGAUUAGCUAGUUGGUGGUGUAAAGGCCUACCAAGGCGACGAUCUGUAGCGGGUCUGAGAGGAUGGUCCGGCACACUGUGACUGAUACACGCCCCAGAGUCCUACGGGAGGCCGGAGUGGGGAAUAUUGGACAAUGGGGGGAACCCUGAUCCAGCCAUGCUGCGUGUGUGAAGAAGGCCUUAUGGUUGUAAAGCACUUUAAGCGAGGAGGAGGCUCUUUUGGUUAAUACCCAAGAUGAGUGGACGUUACUCGCAGAAUAAGCACCGGCUAACUCUGUGCCAGCCGCCGCAGUAAGAC
rnacentral:rRNA from 1 species